UGGGGAAUUUUGGACAAUUGGGCGAAAGCCUGAUCCAGCAAUGCCGCGUGUGUGAAGAAGGCCUUCGGGUUGUAAAGCACUUUUGUCCGGAAAGAAAUCCUUGGCUCUAAUACAGUCGGGGGAUGACGGUACCGGAAGAAUAAGCACCGGCUAACUACGUGCCAGCAGCCGCGGUAAUACGUAGGGUGCAAGCGUUAAUCGGAAUUACUGGGCGUAAAGCGUGCGCAGGCGGUUUGCUAAGACCGAUGUGAAAUCCCCGGGCUCAACCUGGGAACUGCAUUGGUGACUGGCAGGCUAGAGUAUGGCAGAGGGGGGUAGAAUUCCACGUGUAGCAGUGAAAUGCGUAGAGAUGUGGAGGAAUACCGAUGGCGAAGGCAGCCCCCUGGGCCAAUACUGACGCUCAUGCACGAAAGCGUGGGGAGCAAACAGGAUUNGAUACCCUGGUAGUCCACGCCCUAAACGAUGUCAACUAGUUGUUGGGGAUUCAUUUCCUAGUAACGUAGCUAACGCGUGAAGUUGACCGCCUGGGGAGUACGGU
rnacentral:rRNA from 1 species